rnacentral:lncRNA from 1 species
UAAGUAAUCAGUAACCUGCUUGUGGACACAAGUGUGACCUGCUGCAUUCAGGAACUGCUCUGUCCACACCUACAAGGCUUGGCCUUUCAGAGCUGGAGGACCUCAGAGGGCGACGAGGAAAUGUAAGAUCCAGGAGGGGAGUGGCGCCUGAGUGCCUUAGUAGGAAGCAGGAUACCAGCUGGGAAGUCAGGCCUUCUGGGUACAAAGCCCAGCUCUGCCACAGACUGUCCUCCACCUUGAGAAGGUGGUGUAACCACUCUAAGCCCAUGUCGUAAAGAGAACAGCAGAUGACCCGAGUGUGGUCGUGAGGAUGCACCAAGACAAGGCAUGUGACUUAGCUCAGUGCCGGGAACAUGGCUGAGGAAAAGUUAGCUGUGACUCACAGGGGCAGCUCUACCUGGCCAGAACCGCUAACUGAUCAGACGUCAAACCGGUCAAAUAAACCAGAGCAUCAGAAGAAGAAAAAAUAUAUCUUAAUUUAAAAUACCAAUGGGUUGCCUUAUCAGAUCACAUUUUUUCCAUAAACUUCAUUCACAAUGCAUUACCCACAAUUUUCAGUUGUUUUAAUUUAUUUUAAUUUAAUUUAAUUAAUUUAUUUAUUUUUGAGACGAAGUCUUACUCUGUUGCCCGGGCUAGAGUGCAGUGGUGUGAUCUCGGCUCCCGAGUUCAAGCGAUUCUUGUACCUCAGCCUCCUGAGUAGCUGGGAUUACAGGCGCCUGCCACUGCGCCUGGCUAAUUUUUUGUGUUUUUAGUAGAGAUGGGGUUUCACCAUGUUGGCCAGGCUGGUCUCGAACUCCUGCCCUUGUGAUCCACCCACCUCGGCCUCCCAAAGUACUGGGAUUACAGGCUUGAGCCACCGCGCCCGGCCCCAGUUCUGUUUUUAAAGCAGAGAACAAGGCCUUGGCAGAGCAAUCUAUAUGCAGAAUUUUUCUAGAUUUUUAUGAUCUUUGCUUCAAUUUUAGUUCUCUCUCCCAUACCCAACUGAAGUUCCAUUUUAUUACAUUGAAUAUUAUGAAGUUACGGAACAUUACAUAUUACUCAAAAUUUUUCAUUCUGUUUAGCUUUUUAGAUAGCUGUCACUCUUCUGCCACUAUUUCACUUGUUAACACAAUAUUUGAAUUACAUAAUUACAGUUACAUGUACAACAUGGGACCAACAACUUUUUGUGUGUGCGCAUUUCUUUAAAUGCUCUUUAAAUAUAAUUCAAC